rnacentral:rRNA from 1 species
GACAGAGGUGCCGAGCGUUAGGCGGAAUCACUGGGCUUAAAGCGUGUGUAGGCGGAUCGUUAAGUACCUUGUGAAAUCCCACGGCUCAACCGUGGAACUGCUGGGUAUACUGGCGAUCUUGAGCAGCUUAGGGGCAGACGGAACAAGUGGUGGAGCGGUGAAAUGCGUAGAUAUCACUUGGAACGCCGACGGUGAAAACAGUCUGCUGGGAGCUUGCUGACGCUGAGACACGAAAGCCAGGGGAGCGAACGGG